UACGUAGGGGGCAAGCGUUGUCCGGAUUUAUUGGGCGUAAAGAGCGUGUAGGCGGCCAUACAGGUCCGUUGUGAAAACUGGAGGCUUAACCUCCAGACGUCGAUGGAAACCGUAUGGCUAGAGUCCGGAAGAGGAGAGUGGAAUUCCUGGUGUAGCGGUGAAAUGCGCAGAUAUCAGGAAGAGCACCCGUGGCGAAGGCGGCUCUCUGGGACGGUACUGACGCUGAGACGCGAAAGCGUGGGGAGCGAACAGG
rnacentral:rRNA from 1 species